rnacentral:rRNA from 1 species
UGGUGGAGUGAUUUGUCUGGUUAAUUCCGUUAACGAACGAGACCUCAGCCUGCUAAAUAGAUGGACAAUCAUCUCGUAUGAUUGCAUUUCCACGCUUCUUAGAGGGACUUUUGGCGUUCAGCCAAAGGAAGUUUGAGGCAAUAACA